UGCCUACGGGGGGCAGCAGUAGGGAAUCUUCCACAAUGGGCGAAAGCCUGAUGGAGCAACGCCGCGUGGGUGAAGAAGGUCUUGGGAUCGUAAAACCGUGUUGUUAGAGAAGAAAGUGCGUGAGAGUAACUGUUCACGUUUCGACGGUAUCUAACCAGAAAGCCACGGCUAACUACGUGCCAGCAGCCGCGGUAAUACGUAGGUGGCAAGCGUUAUCCGGAUUUAUUGGGCGUAAAGGGAACGCAGGCGGUUUUUUAAGUCUGAUGUGA
rnacentral:rRNA from 1 species